GUUGAACGCUGGCGGCGUGCCUAAUACAUGCAAGUCGAGCGAACAGAGGAGAAAGUUGGUUCUCUGACUUAAGCGGCGCGGACGGGAGUAUAAUGUGGGGAACAUUGCUUGAAGAAUGGGAAAAACUACUGAAACCGGUGGCUAAUACGGCUUAUCGAUGCAAGCGCAAGGAUGGAUAGUGUCAGGCGUCUUGGCUGUAGCUGAGACAUGAUGCCGUUCGGCAUUAGCUAGUUGGUCAGGUAACGGCUUACCCAGGCGACGAUUCGUAUCCGAUCUGAGAGGGUGAUCAGCCACACUGGAACUGAGACACGGUCCAGACUCCUACGGGAGGCAGCAGUAGGGAAUCUUGCGCAAUGGGCGAAAGCCUGACGGAGCAACGCCGCGUGAAUGAUGAAGGUCUUCGGAUCGUAAAACUCUGUUAGUAGGGAAGAACGAAUUUGUAAGUAACUAUGCGCGUAUUGACGUUACCUGAACAGAAAGCCACGGCUAACUACGUG
rnacentral:rRNA from 1 species